rnacentral:rRNA from 1 species
CCCUACGGGAGGCAGCAGUCGGGAAUAUUGCACAAUGGAGGAAACUCUGAUGCGGUGACACCGCGUAUAGGAAGAAGGUUUUCGGAUUGUAAACUAUUUUAGACAGGGAAGAAAAAAGACAGUACCUGUAGAAUAAGCUCCGGCUAACUACGUGCCAGCAGCCGCGGUAAUACGUAGGGGGCAAGCGUUGUUCGGAAUGACUGGGCGUAAAGGGUGUGUAGGCGGUGUAGCAAGUUAGAAGUGAAAUACCUAGAGCUUAACUCAGGUGCUGCUUCUAAAACUGCUAUACUUGAGUGCAGUAGAGG